GUGUAUGUAUAUAUAUCAAAUCAUCACACUGUACAUCUUAAAUAUACACAAUUUUUAUUUUUCAGUUAUAUCUUAAUAAAGGUGGAAAAAAUUAUAGCAUUUCUUUCCCCUAUUUUUGGCUGCAUGCAUACCAUGUAGAGUCAUCAUAUAAAGUUUUUCAGUUUGUUGACUUAAAAGGCACAGGACCAAGAGUGUGAAUGGGGACUGCAAUUAACCCAUACUCUGCUCUCUAACUUGUAUAUCCUAGUUUGGUCCUGCCCCAUCCAAGAGGAAAGAGCACCAUUUCACCAUUUUGUAGUUCAGCUACUUUGAGGACACAUCUUAGUAUGAUUUGUCUUCUUGAAGAGGCUACCUUUUAGUACUUUGUAUAAAUACCUUAUAUGUAUUGGUGGAAAUCCUAGAACAAUGGAUACUAUUUUCUUAUCCUGGAAUUCGGGCCACCUCACAGCCUUUAGUCUAGCUGAGACUAAUAACCAGUUAUAAAAUGCCCCUCAUAAUUCUCUCCAAAGGUCUCGUGAUUGUAACUGGGUCUGUGGUAUAAUUUUUAAAUCAGAAUUCUUCAGUUGCAGACCACAGCAAUUGAUUUUGCAUAACUUAAACAAAAAGGAGUAUUUAGAAGGAUAUUGGAAUUACUCAAAUCUAAACUGACAUGCUGAAAAACAAGGCCUCAGGGAGGUCAGGAACCAUCGAGCUUGAGACAUUUAGGUAGCAGAACCUCAGUCUCUAUAGUCCCCAGUCAGGUUUAAACAUUCAAGGAUGGGGAAUCUGAUUAUUUCACUAAGAGGGAUGGGAUCUUUCAUCAGAACAAAGGUCAGUGAAAGAAUUCUGGACCAACCAAGCAAUAGUUACCAAAGGAGACAAAAAAAACAAGGUGUCAACAUCCACGUGGAGAUGUUGAGUAAACCUUUAAAUAUGUAAGUCUGAAUCUCAAAAGAGAGGGCUAGACUGGGAUAAACGAUUGGGAAUCAUAAAGAUAACUGAAAUAAUGGGCAUGGUGUAGAUUGCCCAGAAAGAGAGUGAGAGGCCAUGCAGCCCUCCAGCUCUGUUGCCCGAGGGCAGGAGCGCUUACUACACAGUAAUUGUAGCUGGAGGAGUGUUCCUAUUUGGGGGAGUGCAAAAAAGUGUUCCUAGAGAUUGGGAAGAGUGUAGGGUAUGGGACUAUAACACUGUGCUGAGAACAUUCUGUUUCAUAAGAAUGAACUUGUUAUGUGGAGAUUUUAAUGGAAUGUAACAUCUUUCUGUCAAAGUUACAAUAAAUGCCAUCUUAUUUUUUCUGUAACAUUUAUCAUUUAUAUUGCACCUGGGCCUGUGUUGAGUGUUUUAUGAGUGUGAUCUUAUUUAAUCCUCACAACAAAUUAAUGAGGUAGGUAUUAUUAUCAACCACAUUUUACAGUUCAGUUACUGAAAUCUCAGAGAGUUUAAGUAAUUUACUCAAGGUCAUAUUGCUGAAAAGGGUAGAAAUGGGACUUAAGUAAGGUCUACCAGAAUUUAAAAAAAUUUCUACUCUAUAUUAGAUGAUGCAGCAAUACAAACAUUAGCUAUGGUUUACGAUUCUUGAGCCCCUACUGUGUACCAUGCAAUGUGCUGAAUACUUUAUCUUAUUUAAUCUUAAUAAAACAUGAUACAGAAAGUACCAUCAUUAUCCCUCCUUAACUGAUGAAACUAAGACCUGGAAAUAUUAAUUUCCUGGUUGUCACACAGUCAGUAAGUGGUAGAGUCAGUACUUGAAGACAUUUGCUUGAUUCUAAGGCCUAUAUGUUUCACCAACACACACUUUUCUCUAACAAAAAUAACCAAAUCUUUUAACAGUGGCUCUCUUCCCUGGCUUUGCACUAGAAUCACCUGGGAAGCUUUAAAAAAUGAUGCUGAGCCUUAUCAUCAAAGAUUCUGAUAUAAUUUAACAGUAAUGUGGACAAGUCAUUGGGUUUUUAAAAAGCUAUUCACUCAUUCAAUUUAUUUAAUAAAUAUUUAAUGAAUGUCUACUCUGUGCCAAACACUUUCUAGGCAUUUACAUUCUAGCAGGAUGUAUCAGUUAGCCAUUGCCACAGUGAUGUGUAACAACAACCACAAAAUUUCCGUGGCAUGAAAAAUUAAUCACUUAUUAAGCAUUUAUCUUCACAGAUCUGGAGGGCAGCUGAGACUCAGAUGAUUAAAGAGGGCUCUGUUGGGUAACUUUAUUCAGGCUGGGGUCACUGUGCUUUCCUGCUGCAGUACUGUGGGUAAGCUAUGAUGGUUCUGCUUCAUGUAUUUCUCAUCCUCCUUAGACCAGUGAACUAGCUGGGUCUCCUUUCUCUGUGGCUUCUUUCAUGAAUCAUAAGAGAUGACAUGUCCAACUCUGGGUUCACUCCAUUAACCAAAGUCUCAUGACUGAGCUCAAAGACAGGAGGUGGGAAAAUAAGCUCCAUUUUUUGGUGUGUGGAUUUGCAAAGUUCAUGACAAAGGUGGAGAAAGGGGCCAGUAAUUCAAUUUAGGUGGGAAAGACUAACAAAGAACAAUAAGCAUGAUACAUAAGUAAAUUAUCAAGUAUAUUAAAAGGUGAUAAGUAAUAUUUCAGGAUUCUAAUGUGUAGCUAGGACUGAGAACUACUGAUCUUACAGUGUUAAACCUGGAAAGAAACCUGGUCUAACAUUCCUUGAACCAUUUUCAAAAUAGUAAAGCAGACCCUUCUCCCAGAAAGGAGAAGAAUCUUAUUCGAGGUCCAUGGAUAGAUAGAAAUGGAGCUAGGACCCAGGUCUUCUGAUUCUAUAGACUAUUUCUCUUAUACCACAGUAUUCCAAUCUGUAGUCUUAGAAUUCUCCCUUUAUUGAUGGCACCAAAAAUAUGUUGUGGAAGGACAUCGUCAUUCUUACUUCUCUUGAUCUCAGACAUUAGGGGUAUGCUACCUAAUUCCUAUACUUCUCUUAGUGACUCAAUUCAGAGCCCAAUUUGACAUUCUCCAUGUUUGUACCUUUCAAAACUUUAUACACAUUCUAUCCUCUUUCAGCCUUUUUUUUUUUUCUUCAAGUUGAAGACUGUUCGUUUUGGUCUGUCCUCAUGUGAUUCCCCAGGGUCCUACCUCAGCUGUCUGCUUGGUUAUUGGGCCUUCUCUUUUCUCCAGCUCUCUAAUGCCUUGAAUGAAGAGUCUUUCUUGAGUUACUUUUUUACUCUGAGCAUCCACUAGGCCUUAUAGUCAUUGUUGCUGUUUUGGAUUACAGUCUUCUUGAUUUGCCAGGAUGAACAAUCAGAAGAAAAGAAAAUAUAUGGAACUUGCUUGUACCUGGAGUUUAUUGUCUGGAGAGAAUGUUGCUUCAAGUUCUCUGGCUUCAUUUUCAUGUAAAGAGCUUACAGAUUACUGGGAAAUAUUCAGAAGACAUCUAAAAGAAAAAUACCUAAAGAUAGGAGUUGAUAAAUGUUAUCACCAUGGCAAGCAUAUAGAAUCACAACUGCUUCUUAUAAAAGACCAUGGUAUAUCAGAAGAGACACCAUGUGAAAUUCCUCAACAAGAUCAUUUUAUUGACAUGGAACAUGUAUUUGAUCCUAGUGAAGAGGGCUCCAGCUCAUCCCGAACUGUGGUGCUUCAGGGAUGUGCUGGGACUGGGAAACAGCUGUGGUGCACAAGUUCAUGUUUGGGCAGCAGGAACGGUUACUCCAGGGAGGUUUGACUAUCUCAUCUAUGUCAACUGAGAGAAAUCUGCCAUAUUGCUAACCUUAGUGCUGCUGACCUUAUCACUAACACUUUUCAAGAUAUAAAUGGACCAAUCUUGGACACUAUUCUCAUAUAUCCAGAGAAGAUUCUGUUCAUUCUCGAUGGAUUUCCUGAGCUGCAGGGCCCUGUUGGUGACCAAGAAGAGGAUCUUAGUGUUCACCCCCAGGAGAGGAAGCCAGUAGAGGGUCUCUUGUGCAGUUUUGUGAGGAAAAAACUGCUCCCUGAUUCCUCCCUCCUGAUAACUGCCCGGCCUACAACCAUGAAGCUCCACUCUGUUAAAACAACCUAUCCAGGCAGAGAUCUUACGGUUUACAGAUACUGAAAAGACAGCAUAUUUACUGAGCCAGUUUUCAGGUGCUAAUACAUCAAUGAAAGUCUUUUACAAUCUUUGAGAGAAUGAGGACCUUGACUUUAUGUCUUCACUUCCCAUCGUCUCCUGGAUGAUAUGCAGUGUCCUGCAGUCACAGGGAGAUGGUGACAGGACUCUCUUGAGAUCACUUCAGACCAUGACUGAUGUGUAUUUAUUCUACUUUUCCAAGUGCCUCAAAACCCUUACAGGCAUCUCAGUAUGGGAGGGACAAAGUUGCCUGUGGGGUCUUUGCUGUUUGGCUGCAGAAGGUCUGCAAAACCAUCAGGUUUUGUUUGCAGUCAGUGACCUCAGAAGACAUGGGAUAGGAGUGUGUGAUACCAACUACAUUUUUCUCAGUCGAUUUUUGAAAAAGGCUGAAGGAGCUGUCAGUGUCUAUACUUUCCUUCACUUCAGUUUCCAAGAGUUCUUGACUGCUGUCUUCCAUGCCCUGAAGAAUGACAAUAGCUGGAUUUUUUUUUUUUUAUCAAGCAGAGAAAAUGUGGCAAGAAAUGUUCUAACAAUAUGGAAAAGGUUUUUCAUCACUAAUGAUGCAAUUCUUAUUUGGCCUCUUACAUAAAGAGAAAGGAAAGGCUGUGGAAACUACUUUUGGAAUAAAACUUUCCCCAGGACUUCGAGAGGGGUUACUGAAGUGGACUGAGAGAGAAAUAAAGGAUAAGGCUUCUAGGUUACAGAUUGAGCCGGUGGACCUGUUUCACUGUUUGUAUGAGAUUCAGGAAGAAGAAAAUGCAAAAAGGAUAAUUGAUGAUUUACAGUCAAUUAUACUGCUUUAACCUACCUAUACAAAAAUGGACAUUCCGGCUAUGUCCUUCUGUGUAAAAAGCAGUCACAGUCACCUGUCAAGUGUCUCUGAUGUGUCAGCACCUACUUGGAUUUGAAGAGGAAGAGCGAGCCUCAACAUUCGUGCCACUAGCCUUGACACUUAAUCAGUGUCCUUUCAGCUGUGCAGUUUGCCAGUGUCUCAGCUACACCUGCUCUGCCAAGGACUGCGUAAUCCAUGCUGUAAAAUCAAAGAC